rnacentral:rRNA from 1 species
UACAGAGGGUGCAAGCGUUAAUCGGAAUUACUGGGCGUAAAGCGUGCGUAGACGGUUAUGUAAGUCGGGUGUGAAAGCCCCGGGCUCAACCUGGGAAUUGCAUUCGAGACUGUGUAGCUAGGGUACGGAAGAGGGAAGCGGAAUUUCAGGUGUAGCGGUGAAAUGCGUAGAUAUCGUAAGGAAGACCAGUGGCGAAGGCGGGUCUCUGGACAGUUCCUGACGCUGAGGCACGAAGGCCAGGGGAGGCAAACGGGAUUAGAAUACCCUG